GGAGGAGUCGCGUAGCCUGGUCAAACGCGCAGGACUCAAGAUCGAGUAUAGGAAAUCCCGUCCCUUAGGGGUUCGUGGGUUCAAAUCCCACCUCCUCCA
rnacentral:tRNA from 1 species